rnacentral:tRNA from 1 species
GGGGCAUUAGUAAACCAAUUACAUAGCCUUGUCAAGGCUAAAUCACAGGUGAAAACCCUGUACGUCCCG